rfam:Desulfobacula sp. RIFOXYB2_FTLL_45_6 rifoxyb2_full_scaffold_3497, whole genome shotgun sequence.
AGGCGCGUAACUCAGUGGUAGAGUGCUACCUCGACACGGUAGAAGUCAGCGGUUCAACCCCGCUCGUGCCUA